AUUAGCUAGUUGGUGGGGUAACGGCCUACCAAGGCGACGAUGCGUAGCCGACCUGAGAGGGUAAUCGGCCACAUUGGGACUGAGACACGGCCCAGACUCCUACGGGAGGCAGCAGUAGGGAAUCUUCGGCAGUGGGGGCAACCCUGACCGAGCAACGCCGCGUGAGUGAAGAAGGUUUUCGGAUCGUAAAGCUCUGUUGUAAGAGAAGAACGUGUGUGAGAGUGGAAAGUUCACACAGUGACGGUAACUAACCAGAAAGGGACGGCUAACUACGUGCCAGCAGCCGCGGUAAUACGUAGGUCCCGAGCGUUGUCCGGAUUUAUUGGGCGUAAAGCGAGCGCAGGCGGUUCUGUAAGUCUGAAGUUAAAGGCAGUGGCUUAACCAUUGUACGCUUUGGAAACUGCAGGACUUGAGUGCAGAAGGGGAGAGUGGAAUUCCAUGUGUAGCGGUGAAAUGCGUAGA
rnacentral:rRNA from 1 species